AAAACGACUCUCGGCAACGGAUAUCUCGGCUCUCGCAUCGAUGAAGAACGUAGCGAAAUGCGAUACUUGGUGUGAAUUGCAGAAUCCCGUGAACCAUCGAGUCUUUGAACGCAAGUUGCGCCCAAAGCCUUUUGGUUGAGGGCACGCCUGCCUGGG
rnacentral:rRNA from 1 species